AAUAAGUGCAGCCAUGAGUUUCUGUGUCCAACUUUGAUCAUCUGUCUUAUUUGAAAUUUUUUUAUAAUUAGUAUUUUUAUCGUUGUUAGAUUAUAAAACAUGAAUAGUACUUUAUACGUGACUUAUGUUUUUUAUUUUUUUCAAAAAAAAAAUGAAAUAAGACGGAUAAUUAAAAUUGGACAUUGAAACUUAUGGUUGCACUUAUU
rfam:Oryza glaberrima chromosome 6 Oglab06_0058_2, whole genome shotgun sequence.